UAGAAUGGUCUUAAUUAAACGUACAAUUAAAUGAAAAUAUUCUACAAAUAAAUGUCCUUCUCUAACUUCUACAGAUUUGUAUUAAAUAUAUUUUAUCAUCGUGUAAGAAUACAUCUCAUUGCAAACACACUGGAAGAAGUAAUCGGAAUAUUUAUUUCCUGAAGAGUGAGUCGGAUAUCCUCUUCGUUUUUUUUAACAAUUUUAGGAUCCAAAAUUAACGAUAGAGAGUGAUAUAUAAAAAACAGACAAAACAAUUUCAACAUUCUUACAGAAAUUCUUAAUAUUUUUAAUUAUUUUCAAUUACAUUUUUAAUAUUCAUGUAAAAUAUUUUCCAGUGUAAGGUACUCAUAUAGAUUAAUUGUAUAGAACAAUU